rnacentral:ncRNA from 1 species
GCAAAGGAAACAAGGGAAACCUCACCCGGCUCGGACACGGACAGGAUUGACAGAUUGAGAGCUCUUUCUCGAUUCCAUGGGUGGUGGUGCAUGGCCGUUCUUAGUUGGUGGAGCGAUUUGUCUGGUUAAUUCCGAUAACGAACGAGACUCUGGCAUGCUAACUAGUUACGCAACCCCUGAGCGGUCGGCAUCCAACUUCUUAGAGGGACAAGUGGCGUUCAGCCACCCAAGAUUGAGCAAUAACAGGUCUGUGAUGCCCUUAGAUGUCCGGGGCCGCA